UACGAAGGGGGCUAGCGUUGCUCGGAAUCACUGGGCGUAAAGCGCACGUAGGCGGCUUCUCAAGUCAGGGGUGAAAUCCUGGAGCUCAACUCCAGAACUGCCUUUGAUACUGAGGGGCUCGAGUCCGGGAGAGGUGAGUGGAACUGCGAGUGUAGAGGUGAAAUUCGUAGAUAUUCGGCGGAACACCAGUGGCGAAGGCGACUCACUGGCCCGAUACUGACGCUGAGGCGCGAAAGCGUGGGGAGCGAACAGG
rnacentral:rRNA from 1 species